GCCGCUCCAGCACGGGGUAGCGGAGGACCUGAGCGCCUCGCUGGCCGCCCCCCGACACGGGCCAGACAGGCACCCCCGCGACGAGCUGCCUCUCGCGGCAGCCGGGAUCCACGUGGUGUCCGCCCGCGCCCCGCCCCCCGGACCACCGCCGCGUGUCGCUGCGGUGCUGUGACUCUGUGAGGUCGCCAAGAAGGUGACUUUGGUGAUCGCAGCUGCGGUGCCUGUUCGGCGGCGCCCUCUCGUCCUCGCAGCGCUCGCGGCCCUCCCCUCCCCCCGGCCCGGCGGCGCGCAGGGCCAGGUGCGGGCGGGGGUCGCGGCUCGGACGCCUCGCCGACCUCCUUCUGUCCAUACAGCGCGUGCUCGGCGCUCGCUCGGUGCUCGCUCGGCGCUCGGUGCUCGCUCGGCGCUCGCUUGGCGCUCGCUCGGUGCCCAUUCGACACUCGCCCGGUGCUCGUUCGACGCUCGCUCGGUGCUCGCACCGCGGGCCAUGAGGCGCGAGGGCCAUGGCGCUGCUCGAGUCCUGCUGCUGCUGGCGGUCCGUGCGGAAGGGCAGCUAUGCGAGCGCCAUCUACACCAUGGAACGGAAGCAUGACUUCAUCUUAACCAACGAGAUCUUCGUCGAAACACAAGUGAAUCAGGCAAACAUCGU